UUUCGCCUACGGGGCGCAGCAGUGGGGAAUAUUGCACAAUGGGCGAAAGCCUGAUGCAGCAACGCCGCGUGAAGGAAGAAGGGUUUCGGCUCGUAAACUUCUAUCAACAGGGACGAAAGAAAUGACGGUACCUGAAUAAGAAGCCCCGGCUAACUACGUGCCAGCAGCCGCGGUAAUACGUAGGGGGCAAGCGUUAUACGGAAUUACUGGGGGGAAAGGGUGAGUAGGCGGCAUGGUA
rnacentral:rRNA from 1 species